CUCAAAUGAAUUGACGGGGGCCCGCACAAGCGGUGGAGCAUGUGGUUUAAUUCGAUGCAACGCGAAGAACCUUACCUACUCUUGACAUCCAGAGAACUUAGCAGAGAUGCUUUGGUGCCUUCGGGAACUCUGAGACAGGUGCUGCAUGGCUGUCGUCAGCUCGUGUUGUGAAAUGUUGGGUUAAGUCCCGCAACGAGCGCAACCCUUAUCCUUUGUUGCCAGCGAUUCGGUCGGGAACUCAAAGGAGACUGCCAGUGAUAAACUGGAGGAAGGUGGGGAUGACGUCAAGUCAUCAUGGCCCUUACGAGUAGGGCUACACACGUGCUACAAUGGCAUAUACAAAGAGAAGCGACCUCGCGAGAGCAAGCGGACCUCAUAAAGUAUGUCGUAGUCCGGAUUGGAGUCUGCAACUCGACUCCAUGAAGUCGGAAUCGCUAGUAAUCGUAGAUCAGAAUGCUACGGUGAAUACGUUCCCGGGCCUUGUACACACCGCCCGUCACACCAUGGGAGUGGGUUGCAAAAGAAGUAGGUAGCUUAACCUUCGGGAGGGCGCUUACCACUUUGUGAUUCAUGACUGGGGUGAAGUCGUAACAAGGUAAC
rnacentral:rRNA from 1 species